rnacentral:rRNA from 1 species
UACGUAGGGUGCGAGCGUUGCCCGGAUUUAUUGGGCGUAAAGGGCGCGUAGGCGGCUCGGCACGUCCGUUGUGAAAUCGCCCGGCUCAACUGGGCGGGGUCAGCGGAUACGGUCGAGCUUGAGCAAGCUAGGGGGCAAUGGAAUUCCCGGUGUAGUGGUGGAAUGCGUAGAUAUCGGGAGGAACACCCGUGGCGAAGGCGGCUCUCUGGGACGGUACUGACGCUGAGACGCGAAAGCGUGGGGAGCGAACAGG